GUGGGGAAUUUUGGACAAUGGGCGCAAGCCUGAUCCAGCAAUGCCGCGUGCAGGAAGAAGGCCUUCGGGUUGUAAACUGCUUUUGUACGGAACGAAACGGUCCGGGUUAAUACCCUGGGCUAAUGACGGUACCGUAAGAAUAAGCACCGGCUAACUACGUGCCAGCAGCCGCGGUAAUACGUAGGGUGCAAGCGUUAAUCGGAAUUACUGGGCGUAAAGCGUGCGCAGGCGGUUUUGUAAGACAGGCGUGAACUCCCCGGGCUCAACCUGGGAAUUGCGCUUGUGACUGCAAGGCUGGAGUGCGGCAGAGGGGGAUGGAAUUCCGCGUGUAGCAGUGAAAUGCGUAGAUAUGCGGAGGAACACCGAUGGCGAAGGCAAUCCCCUGGGCCUGCACUGACGCUCAUGCACGAAAGCGUGGGGAGCAAACAGGAUUAGAAACCCGUGUAGUCC
rnacentral:rRNA from 1 species